UACGGAGGGUGCAAGCGUUGUUCGGAAUUAUUGGGCGUAAAGCGGGUGCAGGCGGCUUCGUAUGUCUGAUGUGAAAGCCCUGAGCUUAACUCAGGAAGUGCAUUGGAAACUGCGUAGCUUGAAUCUCGGAGAGGGUGGUAGAAUUCCUGGUGUAGAGGUGAAAUUCGUAGAUAUCAGGAGGAAUACCGGUGGCGAAGGCG
rnacentral:rRNA from 1 species